rnacentral:rRNA from 1 species
UACGGAGGGUGCAAGCGUUAUCCGGAUUUACUGGGUUUAAAGGGUGCGUAGGUGGGUCUGUAAGUCAGUGGUGAAAUCUUCAAGCUUAACUUGGAAACUGCCAUUGAUAUUAUAGGUCUUGAAUUAUCUGGAGGUAAGCGGAAUAUGUCAUGUAGCGGUGAAAUGCCUAGAUAUGACAUAGAACACCAAUUGCGAAGGCAGCUUACUACGGAUCGAUUGACACUGAGGCACGAAAGCGUGGGGGAUCAAACAGG